rnacentral:rRNA from 1 species
CCGGGCGAGUGCUUACCAUGCAAGUCGAACGAUGAAGCCCAGCUUGCUGGGUGGAUUAGUGGCGAACGGGUGAGUAACACGUGAGUAACCUGCCCCUGACUCUGGGAUAAGCCCGGGAAACUGGGUCUAAUACCGGAUAUGACUUUUGACCGCAUGGUUGAGGGUGGAAAGAUUUAUCGGUUGGGGAUGGACUCGCGGCCUAUCAGCUUGUUGGUGAGGUAAUGGCUCACCAAGGCGACGACGGGUAGCCGGCCUGAGAGGGUGACCGGCCACACUGGGACUGAGACACGGCCCAGACUCCUACGGGAGGCAGCAGUGGGGAAUAUUGCACAAUGGGCGCAAGCCUGAUGCAGCGACGCCGCGUGAGGGAUGACGGCCUUCGGGUUGUAAACCUCUUUCAGUAGGGAAGAAGCGAAAGUGACGGUACCUGCAGAAGAAGCGCCGGCUAACUACGUGCCAGCAGCCGCGGUAAUACGUAGGGCGCAAGCGUUAUCCGGAUUUAUUGGGCGUAAAGAGCUCGUAGGCGGUUUGUCGCGUCUAUCGUGAAAGUCCGAGGCUCAACCUCGGAUCUGCGGUGGGUACGGGCAGACUAGAGUGAUGUAGGGGAGACUGGAAUUCCUGGUGUAGCGGUGAAAUGCGCAGAUAUCAGGAGGAACACCGAUGGCGAAGGCAGGUCUCUGGGCAUUUACUGACGCUGAGGAGCGAAAGCAUGGGGAGCGAACAGGAUUAGAUACCCUGGUAGUCCAUGCCGUAAACGUUGGGCACUAGGUGUGGGGGACAUUCCACGUUUUCCGCGCCGUAGCUAACGCAUUAAGUGCCCCGCCUGGGGAGUACGGCCGCAAGGCUAAAACUCAAAGGAAUUGACGGGGGCCCGCACAAGCGGCGGAGCAUGCGGAUUAAUUCGAUGCAACGCGAAGAACCUUACCAAGGCUUGACAUGUUCCAGAUCGCCUCAGAGAUGGGGUUUCCCUUCGGGGCUGGUUCACAGGUGGGGCAUGGUUGUCCGCAGCUCGUGUCGGGAGAUGUUGGGUUAAGUCCCGCAACGAGCGCAACCCUCGUUCCAUGUUGCCACGGGUUAUGCCCGGGACUCAUGGAAACUGCCGGGGCCACUCCGAGGAAGGGGGGAUGACGCAAACCUCUGGCCCUUAGGCUGGGCUCCCCAUGUCCAUGG